rnacentral:rRNA from 1 species
CAGUAGCCGCGGGAAAACGGAGGGUGCAAGCGUUAAUCGGAAUUACUGGGCGUAAAGCGCACGCAGGCGGUUUGUUAAGUCAGAUGUGAAAUCCCCGGGCUCAACCUGGGAACUGCAUUUGAAACUGGCAAGCUAGAGUCUCGUAGAGGGGGGUAGAAUUCCAGGUGUAGCGGUGAAAUGCGUAGAGAUCUGGAGGAAUACCGGUGGCGAAGGCGGCCCCCUGGACGAAGACUGACGCUCAGGUGCGAAAGCGUGGGGAGCAAACAGGAUUAGAUACCCGAGUAGUCCCUGUCUCUUAUAC